CUUACUGAUCCUAACCAAACUCCGAAUACCCGGGAGUACUAGAUGGCAGACACACGGCGGAUGCUAACGUCCGUCGUGGAGAGGGAAACAACCCUGACCGACAGUUAAGGCCCCCAAUUCAUGGCUAAGUGGGAAAGCAGGUGGGACGACCAAAACAACCAGGAGGUUGGCUUAGAAGCAGCCAUCCUUUAAAGAUAGCGUAACAGCUCACUGGUCUAAAUAAGUUGUCCUGCGGCGAAGAUGUAACGGGGCUCAAGCCAUGAGCCGAAACUUCGGAUGCAUUUAAUGCAUGGUAGCGGAGCGUAGUGUGACAUAGUUUCCUGUCUCUUUUGAUCCCUUUGGGGUCAUGGGAGACGCGAAGCUUUCUGUGAAGCCGGGCUGUAAGGCAUCCGGUGGAGAGAUCACUAGUGAGAAUGAUGACAUGAGUAGCGACAAAGAGUGUGAGAGACACUCUCGCCGAAAGUCCAAGGGUUCCUGCUUAAAGCUAAUCUGAGCAGGGUAAGCCGACCCCUAAGUCGAGGCCGAAGGGCGUAGACGAUGGGAACCAGGUUAAUAUUCCUGGGCCAGGAGAUGGUGACGGAUUGUGAAGGUUGUUCCUCCUUAUUGGAUUGGAGGGGCCGCUGAUCAGUCCCUGGAAAUAGCCCUCCAUAAGAUCGUACCCUAAACCGACACAGGUGGACUGGUAGAGAAUACCAAGGCGCUUGAGAGAACUAUGUUGAAGGAACUCGGCAAAAUACCUCCGUAAGUUCGCGAGAAGGAGGCCCGGUUUCUAGGCAACUGGAAGCUGGGGGCACAAACCAGGGGGUGGCGACUGUUUACUAAAAACACAGGGCUCUGCGAAGUCGCAAGACGACGUAUAGGGUCUGACGCCUGCCCGGUGCCGGAAGGUUAAGAGGAGAGGUGCAAGCUUUGAAUCGAAGCCCCGGUAAACGGCGGCCGUAACUAUAACGGUCCUAAGGUAGCGAAAUUCCUUGUCGGGUAAGUUCCGACCUGCACGAAUGGCGUAACGACUUCCCCGCUGUCUCCAACAUAGACUCAGUGAAAUUGAAUUGCCUGUCAAGAUGCAGGCUUCCCGCGGUUAGACGGAAAGACCCCGUGCACCUUUACUACAACUUUACACUGAUAACAGGCACAACAUGUGCAGAAUAGGUGGUAGGCUUUGAAGCAGAAACGCCAGUUUUUGUGGAGCCUCCUUUGAGAUACCACCCUUGUUUUGCUUGUUAUCUAACUGCGGUCCGUUAUCCGGAUCCAGGACCCUGUAUGGUGGGUAGUUUGACUGGGGCGGUCGCCUCCUAAAGCGUAACGGAGGCGCGCGAAGGUUGGCUCAGAGCGGUCGGAAAUCGCUCGUUGAGUGCAAUGGCAGAAGCCAGCCUGACUGCGAGACUGACAAGUCGAGCAGAGUCGAAAGACGGCCAUAGUGAUCCGGUGGUCCCGAGUGGAAGGGCCAUCGCUCAACGGAUAAAAGGUACGCCGGGGAUAACAGGCUGAUGGUGCCCAAGAGUCCAUAUCGACGGCACCGUUUGGCACCUCGAUGUCGGCUCAUCUCAUCCUGGGGCUGGAGCAGGUCCCAAGGGUACGGCUGUUCGCCGUUUAAAGAGGUACGUGAGCUGGGUUUAGAACGUCGUGAGACAGUUCGGUCCCUAUCUGCCGUGGGUGUAGGAUACUUGAGAGGAGUUGCCCCUAGUACGAGAGGACCGGGGUGAACGAUCCACUGGUGGACCUGUUGUUGCGCCAGCAGCAGUGCAGGGUAGCUAUGAUCGGACAGGAUAACCGCUGAAGGCAUCUAAGCGGGAAGCCCCCCUCAAAACAAGGUAUCCCUGAGAGCCGUGGAAGACCACCACGUCGAUAGGCCGGAGAUGUAAGCGCAGUAAUGCGUUCAGUUGACCGGUACUAAUGGCUCGAUAGGCUUGAUU
rnacentral:rRNA from 1 species